rnacentral:rRNA from 1 species
CUACGGGAGGCACCAGUGGGGAAUAUUGCACAAUGGGGGAAACCCUGAUGCAGCGACGCCGCGUGAGUGAAGAAGUAUUUCGGUAUGUAAAGCUCUAUCAGCAGGGAAGAAAAUGACGGUACCUGACUAAGAAGCCCCGGCUAACUACGUGCCAGCAGCCGCGGUAAUACGUAGGGGGCAAGCGUUAUCCGGAUUUACUGGGUGUAAAGGGAGCGUAGACGGCAUAUCAAGUCUGAUGUGAAAGGCUGGGGCUCAACCCCGGGACUGCAUUGGAAACUGAGAGGCUGGAGUACCGGAGGGGUAAGCGGAAUUCCUAGUGUAGCGGUGAAAUGCGUAGAUAUUAGGAGGAACACCAGUGGCGAAGGCGGCUUACUGGACGGUAACUGACGUUGAGGCUCGAAAGCGUGGGGAGCAAACAGGAUUAGAUACCCCGGUAGUC